rnacentral:lncRNA from 1 species
AGAAGCCCAAAACUGGGUCUCGGGGAGUUGAAGCAAGGCAUCGGCAGAGUGGCAUUCUUGGGAGGCUCAGGAGAGGGUGUUUCCUGCCCUUCCCGGCUCCUACAGGUGUCCACAUUCCUGGACCGUGGCUCACCCUUCCACCUUCAAAGCCAGCGGCAUCUGUCAGUGCCAGGGACCCUGUUUCCUUCCUCGUGUCACCUCUGACUUUGACCUUGCCUGCCUCUUCUGUGAUGACAUUGGGCCUGGCUUGAUAACGCAGAAUAAUCUCCCCUGGUCAAGGGCUUCACCCUAAUGGCACCUGAAGAGUCCCUCUUGCGGGUCAGGGAGCAUACAGAGCCUCGAGGGGCUAGACCUUGUUCUGUCCACCACAGGGGGCUGUCUGUCAGUAGCGCCAGUGGGACUUGCUGGGUGAGACUGUGGCAGUGUCGGACAACGAUGGUGACGACGGAAAAGCAAGGAAGAGACGGUGUGAAGCCGCUGUAUCAUAAGGGGACAUCGCUGGGUGUGUGGUCCCUGCCUGUGAUGGCAGCCCCCGGGAGCCUGAGGCAGGAGGAUCGCCACUUUGAGGCCAGCCUCAACCAUUUAGGGAAAUCUUAUUUCAAAAUUUAAAAAGGACUGGGCUGUAGCUCAGAGGGAGAGCACCCCUGGAUUCAGUCCCAGUACGAUCAAAACCCCAACAAGACAAAGCUUACGUAGGAAAAAGACGCGGGGCCCCGGGCUGGAGGUCCAGGGCGCGCAGCUUACGUGCUAACGCAGUGAGGUUGAGCCCUCGUAAC